rnacentral:rRNA from 1 species
GGAAUAUUGGGCAAUGGAGGAAACUCUGACCCAGCGACGCCGCGUGCGGGAUGAAGGCCUUCGGGUUGUAAACCGCUUUCAGUAGGGAAGAAGCGAAAGUGACGGUACCUACAGAAGAAGCACCGGCUAACUAUGUGCCAGCAGCCGCGGUAAUACAUAGGGUGCAAGCGUUGUCCGGAAUUAUUGGGCGUAAAGAGCUCGUAGGUGGUUCGUUACGUCGGAUGUGAAAAUCUGGGGCUCAACCCCAGACCUGCAUCCGAUACGGGCGAGCUAGAGUUUGGUAGGGGAGACUGGAAUUCCUGGUGUAGCGGUGGAAUGCGCAGAUAUCAGGAGGAACACCAAUGGCGAAGGCAGGUCUCUGGGCCAAUACUGACACUGAGGAGCGAAAGCGUGGGGAGCGAACAGGAUUAGAUACCCUGGUAGUCCACGCCGUAAACGGUGGGCGCUAGUUGUGGGAACCUUCCACGGUUUCUGCGACGCAGCUAACGCAUUAAGUGCCCCGCCUGGGGAGUACGAUCGCAAGAUUAAAACUCAAAGGAAUUGACGG